rnacentral:rRNA from 1 species
GAUGAACGCUGGCGGCGUGCUUAACACAUGCAAGUCGAACGGAAAGGCCCAAGCUUGCUUGGGUACUCGAGUGGCGAACGGGUGAGUAACACGUGGGUGAUCUGCCCUGCACUUCGGGAUAAGCCUGGGAAACUGGGUCUAAUACCGGAUAGGACCACUUCUUGGAUGUUGUGGUGGAAAGUUUUUUCGGUGUGGGAUGAGCUCGCGGCCUAUCAGCUUGUUGGUGGGGUAAUGGCCUACCAAGGCGUCGACGGGUAGCCGGCCUGAGAGGGUGUACGGCCACAUUGGGACUGAGAUACGGCCCAGACGCCUACGGGAGGCAGCAGUGGGGAAUAUUGCACAAUGGGCGCAAGCCUGAUGCAGCGACGCCGCGUGGGGGAUGACGGCCUUCGGGUUGUAAACUCCUUUCGCUAGGGACGAAGCGUUUUGUGACGGUACCUGGAGAAGAAGCACCGGCUAACUACGUG